UGGGGAAUUUUGGACAAUGGGCGCAAGCCUGAUCCAGCCAUACCGCGUGAGUGAAGAAGGCCUUCGGGUUGUAAAGCUCUUUCAGACGGAAAGAAACGGUUACGGCUAAUACCCGUGACUAAUGACGGUACCGUAAGAAGAAGCACCGGCUAACUACGUGCCAGCAGCCGCGGUAAUACGUAGGGUGCGAGCGUUAAUCGGAAUUACUGGGCGUAAAGCGUGCGCAGGCGGUUUGGUAAGACAGAUGUGAAAUCCCCGGGCUUAACCUGGGAACUGCAUUUGUGACUGCCAGACUAGAGUGUAGCAGAGGGGGGUAGAAUUCCACGUGUAGCAGUGAAAUGCGUAGAUAUAGGAAGGAACACCUGAGGUGAAGACGGGUUGCUGGGCUGACACUGACGCUGAGGCGCGAAAGCCAGGGGAGCAAACGGGAUUAGAUACCCACGUAGUCCCUGAGCGGGCUGGCAAGGCGCAU
rnacentral:rRNA from 1 species